UACGGAGGGGGCUAGCGUUGUUCGGAAUUACUGGGCGUAAAGCGCACGUAGGCGGCUUUGUAAGUUAGAGGUGAAAGCCCGGGGCUCAACUCCGGAAUUGCCUUUAAGACUGCAUCGCUAGAAUUGUGGAGAGGUAAGUGGAAUUCCGAGUGUAGAGGUGAAAUUCGUAGAUAUUCGGAAGAACACCAGUGGCGAAGGCGACUUACUGGACACAUAUUGACGCUUAGGGGGGAAAGCGGGGGGAGCAAACAGG
rnacentral:rRNA from 1 species